CGAGCCGGCCGGGCGGUCGCGUUGCACCCUUCACGGGGUGUGCCGAGGAACGUCCGGGCUCCACACGGCAGGGUGGUGGGUAACGCCCACCCGGGGUGACCCGCGGGACAGUGCCACAGAAAACAGACCGCCGGCCGCUUCGGCAGCCGGUAAGGGUGAAACGGUGGUGUAAGAGACCACCAGUGCCCAGGGUGACCUGGGCAGCUAGGUAAACCCCACCUGGAGCAAGGUCAAGAUGGAACGCCGCAAGGCGCUCCGCGCAGGCGUUCGAGGGCUGCCCGCCCGAGCCUGCGGGUAGACCGCUGGAGGCUGUCGGCAACGGCAGUCCUAGAUGGAUGACCGCCUCCGCGCGGGCCGCAAGGCCCCCGCGAGACAAAACCCGGCGUACAGGCCGACUCGUCCG
rnacentral:RNase_P_RNA from 1 species